rnacentral:misc_RNA from 1 species
GAAAAUGGUACAUUUCUAAAAGAGGUUCUUUGUUUCACUUUUGAAAUAGGUAGAAAUGCCAUAGCCAAACAAUUAGCCACUGCCUGUGGUUGAUAUGGGACCUGGCCCCAAUUUUCAACAUGCUCCCAUUGAUGUUGCCUUCAAAUUGCACCCUAUAAGAUUCCAAGUUUGAAUCUAGCCUGAGCCAAUAAGAAAGCGCGUGGGUCCAUGAAACCCCAACUGAACACAAAUGCCCUUCAAAAAAAAAAAAAAGAACAUCCACAAAAAAAAGACAUCUCAAAGGAGUGGCGUAGGCUGUUCAGUCUUAAAAUCAAAGCUCCCCGCAGAAACAAACGCACACAAGCAGACCAAAUGGCAUGGGCUCUGCUCUCUCCUCUUCCUCCUCCUCUAGCAACCUGUGCCGCCAAAAUAAGC